CGGACACGGUGCUGUGGAGCGCACCCAGGGAGCGGUGGGAGCCCAGCCCGCCCCCAGGAGUGUCCCGGUGCUCGGAGCUGCCAGGUCUGAGCGUCUCCCCUCAGUCCUGACUUUGCUUUUCUUCUUUUCCGAUCAGUCAGAGGGAAUUCUACCCCCGCCCCGUAGUCUGCGAGGGCAGGGUAUGGGCUUUCUGAAAAGGUAACUGUUGUAGAACCGCUCUGCAUCUAUCCGGAUAAAUCCGGAGCAGUGAUGGUCCUCGAUGACGGCUGGAGAGUGAAAUAAGGGCGAACAUUUUGUGUUGUUACUUGAAGUGAGUGUGGAUGACUCGUUUUAUGAUAGAUGCAGGUGUAACUGAACCAGAAAAUACCUUUUUCCUCAAAGAAAUCCGUACAUAUUACUCUGAAGUGAAAAGCUGCGGUGAGAUUGACACAGUCAUUUCUGUCCUAGUCAGCUUUUGUCCCUUACAGGACGUCCUUAUGGAGUGACAAGAGGUUAAUAAUGUAAAACCAACUUAUGCUUGUUCUUUUAUUCGGAAAAUGCAGUCGCCCUAAAAAUGGGUAAUCUGCUCACCAGGCCUUUCGGUCCCCCAAGGGCCUGAUUCCUUCUGAGGAGGAAAGGAUGCCAUUCUUAAGUGUGCAGGAUAUUAUUUUCUGUGUGACCAGAAUGAAAGAGCAGCUUGUGCCUUUUGCUGUGGGAACCAGUAGUAUUUGUCAUUUUUCUGUACCUAAUAUGACAUAGAAUUAUAGGAUGGUUCGGGUUGGAAAUGACCUUAAAGACCAUAGCGUUCCAAGCCCCCUGCCGCACACAGGAACAUCUUCCACUAGACCAGACUUGUCGACUCACUCCUCCUGCCCCCACCCCUGCCUCGAAUCAUGUUUAGCUACUUCCCUGGGUGAUCGUUCUGCAGUAUGACUUUCCAAACUCAAUUAUCUCAGACUAAAUAAUUUAAAGCCUAGUUUAUAUUUAAUUUCAUUCUGUCCCACUGGGAGAACUACAGAGAAAGAUGGCUAAACAAGCAGGAGUUCUGAGAAAUCCAUUUGGCUUUUGAGCUGAUGAAUGAUGUGGUAUUGACAACAGAUACUUUUCAAAGAACUUCCCCAUGUGUGGGUAUGCCAGCAGGAAUCUACAUUAAAAAAAAAAAAAGCCAAAAACACAACAAAAACAAAAAAACCCCCCAACUUCAGAAGAAAUUAAGAUGAAACAAUUUUUAAAUACUGGCAGCAGACUGAAAGGGGGAAGGGAUUAAACAUAUGCCAGAAUUUCAAGGGAUGCUGUGCCCCUUAGAGGCAGGGAGGGCAGUGGGUUUUGCUGUGUGGCUGUUCCUAGAAAAUAAAGUUUUAAGCACAGGUGAGGGUUAUCCGUGUUUUGCAGCUAAGACAGAACAAGAAAAGUUGAGCCCUGUGAAAUGCUGUUUGCAGUUUGUCUUGAAACCUACAGAAAAAGGCAUGUAAUUCAGUGUCCUGGGCAUAAGCAGGUAGGUAAGUCAUCCAAUGAAAAAUACUCCUUAAAAUGUAUCAAAACAUCAGGUAAAGGAAAAACAGUGAUGUGGCUUUUGUCAUGUGAGAUAUGUCUGUACAGCAGUGACCACAGCUCAGCAGUGCUACCUUGUUUAUGUUUGAGCUAGGUAGCUUAGGUUUGCUGGCAAGACAUCUCUACAAGCAAAUAUUUUAGUAGAAGUAAAAAGUUAAGAGUGUUUUUCAGCUGUUUUUGACCUGGCUCUGUCUUAAACUAUGAGGCUUCCCCCAUGAUCAGCACAGUGACUGUGCUGCCUGGGCUAAUGAGCCUGUUUGUGGAGGGGUAAAGCAAUGCCAAGCUGCAGUCAGAGACAUACAUGUCAUAGGCUGUGUCCUGGCCAGGUGUGGACCUCAAAGCUCUGAGCUGUGCAGGCACUGGACUUACACUGCAGUUUCAAUUACAAAAAUCUGUGAGUGGAUACUUGGUAAUUGGUGAACUACGAAUAAAUAAUAGAAGAGUUUAAGGAUCACUUUGAUAAAACUGUAUGAAAACCAGCAUUAAUCUUAGAUGGGUUUCUGAACUUCAGAAAAUGCAGUCUGUAUCUUCCCAGUUGCUAGUAGGUGCUAGAAGUUUUUUCCUGUCUGGCUCAACAACUGUAUGGUGUAUGAACUGUUGAGCCAAAAUCACCAUAGAAGUCUCUGUUAUAGAUAGUGGCAAGAUGAUGAAUCUGCAAGAUUUCCAAAGACAUUGCCUGAAAUUUUGUUUUACUGUUGUUGCCUUGGACCUGACCCAGUUAACCACGAGCAUUGGGAAAUGCUCAUCCCAUACACUCAACUAUUUAGACACAAGAAAGAGGUUUAUAUGAAUUAGAAGAAUGGCAGAGUUUUGAUUAAGUCAGAUAUUUGUAAAGUCUCAGUUUUUUUUUCAUAGUGUGAGUUGGUGACCUGUAAAAGUUCAGCCUUUAAGGAUUUUCCUUGUAAUUACUUUUUCAGAAUGAAAGAUGGAAGAAUUUUCACUUUUUUUGCCUUUUCCUGAUGACAGUGGCUUUGACUGGGGGCCCUGAUCUCCCAAACACUGAUUGUCUUAUGUUCCUCAAUUCUGAAAACCUUCAAGCAUACAGUCAGGUAUCCUGCCAGCAGCUUUUGCAGUCAAUGCUUUUGCAAUACCAGGCUCUGCUCAUUUCAAAACUGUGAAGCAAUCCAGCUUAGCAGUCAGCAGAGUGUAAAACUGAAUAGUAGGAAGCACUGGAGAGCACCUACUCCAGUUUCAAGCAGAAGAAAACCUUAAAACUUCAAGGAUCCGAAUGCUGGGGAAUCUCCACUGACAGGAAAUCUAACAGGCAGAGAUGGGAAGAAAAUUAGGAGAUGAAUACACAAGAAGAGUUCUGCUGUACGCUGCAAAUUGCCCACUGUGGUACCAGACAGCCCUUGUUGAUCAUGCCUGAAGAACAUAUUUUUUCCCUGAAUAUGAAACAUGGCAACCCACUGUACUAGGGCUCAGGAUUGAUAUUGCUGUCCUGCAGGGAUAAUUGGGAAUUUACCAAACCAGAGCAACAGAUGCCUUGAGAGACACAAGUAUCUUUCAGGAGCUGCCUUAUCAUGUAUCUGUCAUAAAGCCAAAGUAGGAGCAACUGUUCAUUCUAAGAUGCAUAAAGCAACUUUCCAAGAUGAUGCUCUAAGGAGUGUGCUGAAGAGCUCUGAAGAGCUUGAAGCUGGCAGGUACGGGGUGGCACACCUGAACUGCUCCUGGCUGCCCUGGAACAUCCCACUGAAAAUAACAUUUAUGGAAAUGCAAGGAAAAGAAUUGCUCCACCUUGCAGGUACAAAACAAGAUGCCAUGUUCCUCACAGCAGCCAGAGUUGGCGUGGAUGAACAGCUCUCCCAGAGGGACCUGCUUUCCUGGGGGAAGAUGCUGCCCAGGACAGUAACGUUUCUGCUACUAGAGCUGAGGGGGAAGGCCAUAUUUGGGACCUGAUGUUAGGUCAGAAUUGGAGCUGGAACUUUGAAUACAAUUUUUUUCCCCCCAAAAUGGUCCUGUACUCUACUUUCUCAGCCUUGUCCUCAGCUAACGUGUUGCAGUACUGCUUGGGGGUGAGCUGUGCUGAUGCCACUGCUGUACUCUUGCUGGUUUGGAGCAUGGGGUCUGCCUGGCCAGGUCUGGGAGGAGCUGGGAAGAUGGACUGGCUUGCAGUGCUGUUUGAAAGCUGCACAGACCUCUUUCCUAGCAGAAUGUUUAAUGGAAUCUGCUUCCUUGAAACCAAAAUGAGGCAACAGCUGUGAUUGCAGCAAGCUGUAACAUCUCAUUACUGGAUGGAGGCACAUCCUGUUACAAGUGGUGCUGCUGCAAAACCUCAGCAAAAGAGCCUACUGAGACCUGCCUGGCUGGGGGCUGUGAACUCCCCUGAGGCCUCAAGAAGAAGCUUGGAAUGUGGUGCCAGCACAACAACAGUGAGAGAAACCGAGGGAAGCACCUCCAAGAUAAGUAAUAGAUGAUAAUUGUUAUUUCCUAUUAUUCAUCUGAAUCUCUACUCCUGACAAGUGGAGUUAAAUCCUAAAUCUUCCUUUAUUUUUAAGCAGAUCAUCCAGCAAGUUAAAAAACAGCAACACAAGGAGGUCCUAAGAUAGGGUUUGCUCCAGUUUUCCUGCUGAGCAUCUGUUUAGGAAUUGCUGCUAAAAAAAGUCAGAGGGGAUGGUAGUUGCUGUGCUGUCACAUGGGCUGAUACAGUGCAGAAUCUGCUUAGCAUUCUUGAAGGGAAAUUAUCCAGUGCUGUAACUCACAAUUUAUAAUUGGUUGCAUAUUAAUAUCUAAAAAAGGCAAUAAAAUCCACUGUGUGUUUAAAAAAAAUAGUAAGUAGGAGUAUUACAAGCUGAGCAGUGAAAAUCUGGAAGACUUCUUGGCUAGAGCAAGGCUGUGUGCAGUGCUAUUUCUCUCUUAAUUACAAGCAAUUUUAAAUCAUCUCCUUCCUUCAAAGAAGGAUUUUGUUCAGGGUGUGUGUUAAUUUUAAUCUUGCUAACGUGAUACUCUCUUGGAACCUCUCCCUUGUGUCAUAACAGUGAGAUGUGCUGCCUCUUUUGUCCCUGCCCUUUGGGAAAUGCAGUUACUGCUGCUCGUUGCCUCAACCCUGCCGUCGUGACUAUCAGUGUACCUCCCUUGAAAGGAGAAGAAAACAAAACCCAACAGCAGCAUUGCUUUUUCCCCCCCCAGAGGUUCACUUUUAUUUGUACUAUUUAAGCUAGACUGUGCAAGUACUUCAUGAAAACCAGGGAUUUAAAAUGUAUGGUGCUGUAUUAUGCUGUAUUAUAGUGGAAAGCUUAUUAUUCAGCACACUAAUUAUUUCUGAGUCACUAUAUUUAUGAAAUGGCAUGUAAUAACUACUUCACCACCACGCAAAGUAAAUAGUAUAAAAGCAGGCAUUUUAUGAUUUUGACAUUUUAGUGUAUAAACAUAUUCCUGAAUCUCCUGGGGGGCUACUGGAAAUCAGAUAAUGUUUUUAUGACUUUUAAAAAAUGACAUUGAAUUUCACAGUCUGUAAUGCUCCAUAUAUAUGGUUAAUGUAGCAUAUUUUAUUACAGCCUCAGUGGCUUAUGUUACAAGUGUCAGCUGCAAAGAGAAAAUGUACAAAGGUGGGUUUGUGGAACUGUGGGGGAAACAACAUUGUACAACCUUGCAAUGCACACAUCAAAGCCCUUGGACAAGCUGUAAUGGCAGGUCCUGGGCCAUGCUGGGACACCAGAAUUCACCCUCUGCUUUUUUUCGUGUCAGGAUGGAUUACAAAGUCCUCACUGAAGGAGGGUUUCUGCCCACACUUGUCACUAGAGGAUAAGUAAGUUUGGGUUUUUGUCAAGCCCUGUGUGAAUGACCCGUUAACUCCAGAGGAACUGGGACGCCUUGAGUGACACCCUGCGAGCUGGACUGCACUGACUUCUGCAUUUCAGGAAUGUGACUCCUGUCCUUGACCUCGUCUGCAGAUAAAUACAACAUGCCCCUUAGUGCUGAGUGGUUUGGGAAGAAUGUCAGCCAGACAAGAGAGGGGAGAUAAUGGAAAGACAGGCUAUGAUAGGAACUGGGCUGUCUGAUUCUGCAAUGUGGGAAUCGCCUUUUCUCAGCUGCCAGUGUCAAAGUCAAGCUUGCAUUGCACAAAUAAAAUGGGGUAUUCCACACACACACCUGCACCCUUUCAAUUGUCACUGAUAUUUAGCAGAGGGAAUAUUCAAAACAUUAUUCCCUCCAAUAGAGAAUGGCUGUUGGGUGUUACCAGAUCACGUAAAAAAACUCCAUCUGAGUGGAGUUUUUCCAGCAACGAACAAGAAACAAAGGGAGGAUUAAAAAAAUGUUUUGCUACGUAUACUGUUAUGAUUUUUUUCCUGAAUGUAUAUAUAUAUAUAAAUUAAUGUUGGGAUGUGAAGAAACAAAGAAAAAGAGCAGGCAAGUUUGCUACCAUAAUAUGUAGCAUGACAUGUUACAGAACUGAAUGUUACAGGCACAUGUGUUGGGGACCAGGAUGGUACUUCACACUUAUUACUGAGGUCAGUGCAAAUUCUCCAGUACCUUAUUUAAUGUGGGAUCAAAGGUUUGAUGGGAUCUAGAAAUCCAAACACAUUUAAAACGUGGCAGAUGUGGGUAACCUCAAGUACACAGCCCAUCGCCUCAGAAAGAGGAAUGUUCUUGCAAAUUUGACAUAAUCCAAUUAGUUGAUUCCUUCAGUGACAUUUCUGCAGGCUCAUGUACAGAGGCACAAGGAAAGAGAGAUUUAUGACAGCUAUUCCUAGCAAAGGUCAUUUCUUUAUUAGUGAACAACCUGUCCUUAGUCAUGCUGAUGAUGAGGCGUUGAAGGAUAAGGGAGCUUUAAAACUUGACAGGGAAUAACAGCAAUAGAGCAUAGAUCAUCUCUCUACUUGGACCAGGAGGACUGAAAUCUCCCACUAUCAGGCCAAAGCCAGAGAGCAGGAGGCAAAAUCCAGGAAAAAAAUAAUACAUGGGGAUUUCUGUGGAGAUUGUGAAGGAGUUUGGAUAGUUCAGUGUCAGCACAGCAGGGGGGAAAGAGCCACAGAGCAUGAGUAUGUGUUUUUGGAUAGGAUGAGUGUCCUUAGUGGAACCAGCUGCUUAUAAAGAACCUGGUAUGGUUGCUCUGGGGAAUCCCUGGUCAGCACUGCCAACUUCCCAGUUUGAGCAGCUCUCAGCAUCCUGUUCCAUGCCAUUUCCAGAACAACACAGAUGAGAGCAUUCUCAAAUAUAUACAAAUACACUUCCUUGGCUGUCCUUCCAUAGGCAAGGAAAGCACCAGAUUUGACAGGAAUGUGGUUUCAGUAGAUUGUGACAUACACAUUAUGUAUUUUUAAACAAUAA